UACGUAGGGUCCGAGCGUUGUCCGGAAUUAUUGGGCGUAAAGGGCUCGUAGGCGGUUCGUCACGUCGGGAGUGAAAACUCGGAGCUUAACUCCGAGCCUGCUUCCGAUACGGGCAGACUAGAGGUAGGCAGGGGAGAGCGGAACUCCUGGUGUAGCGGUGGAAUGCGCAGAUAUCAGGAAGAACACCCGUGGCUAAGGCGGCUCUCUAGUACGGUACUGACGCUGAGACGCGAAAGCGUGGGGAGCGAACAGG
rnacentral:rRNA from 1 species